UCCCUCUCGGGCUUGGCCGCGAGGGUGGGGUCACGUGGCGGGGGGAUGUCCCGCGAGCAGCGGCGACGCGUCACGUGAGGCGAGCAAGAUGGCGGCUCCCGCGGACGGUGCUGACCUGGAGGCCUCGUUGCUGAGCUUCGAGAAGCUGGACCGCGCCUCCCCGGACCUGUGGCCCGAGCAGCUGCCCGGGGUUGCCGAGUUCGCCGCCUCCUUCAAAAGCCCUAUUACAAGUUCUCCUCCCAAGUGGAUGGCUGAAUUAGAAAAUGAUGAUAUUGAUAUGUUAAAGGAGUUGGGGAGCCUUACUACAGCUAACCUGAUGGAAAAAGUUCGUGGCCUGCAGAACCUGGCUUAUCAGCUGGGACUGGAUGAAUAGAGGUGAAAAGAACGCUGACAUUGUUCAUUAAGGUGUUUAUAUGGCCACGUCACCGUGAUGUCCAAGCUGCUAUGAUUUCCAUGUGAAACCUUGGCCUUUCUCCUGAUUCUCUUUAUACCCUCCUCCCACACCUGCUUGUUCAUUUUGAUGCACAGCACUAUGCUAGAGAAAUGACUCGAGGAAAAUUCCUGAACAUCCUAGAGAAACCCAAGAAGUAGCUGCCAUAUCUGGAGUUUGGACAAAAAUACCCCAACUAGAUCAUUUUACGUACUGUGGAUCCAGAUGAACCCCAAGACUUCUUAGAAGUACAAAGCUCUUGCUCCAGACCUUCAGAAGCAAACAUUUCUUUUUGCCUCCACAGCUCAUCUCAUUACAGGGGAGAAGUGUAUUGCAUACACAGGUCACAAGGACUGCAAUUGGUUACGCUGGAAUUCAUCUGACUGUAAGACGUCCAACAGGAGGACUCGGCCCUGACGUGCUGUGGCAAAGUUAUCUGUUUUAAUCAGCUCUUCAAAGUGAACAGCCAUAGUGUCCUUAUUCAGUUGCUCUCAGGGGCAGCACCUGUUUGGAGUACACAUCAGAUCUGACACUGGCCAGUGCGCAUCAUGAGGCAUUGACCCUUUUGUGUCUUCUGUCUUAGACACGUUGAUUUCAUAUGUGAAACUUCUGUGCUGACAGAUAUGAGCAGAGUUUGGGGUGUGAGUUGGUCGAUAACACUGAUUCAGCAGAAGCAUAUGCUUUUAGUGUUGAAGUUGAGUGUAGUCUGUGUGUUAGAUUCCAGUUAUUCACUCCCUUUAGAGAAGCAUGUCUGGUACUCCAAGGAGGACCUCUAGGCCUCCAGUGUAGCAGGAGCUUCACCUUGCCGCUAAACGGUUCUCUAGUAAAAUCAAGACUGACAGACCAUAGGCAGUAAGAGGUGUUACUGUGUCAUGAAGGAAAAUAUCCCUACAGAAACCUUGGCCAGUACACAAAGGAACAGUGUUGUCAGUCCACUGCAAUUCUCUGCUUACAGAACUAGAAACUGAAGAAAGUCACAAAGCUAAAAGGUGGUAAUGUUUUCAGUUAGCACCCCAAGAAGGGGCAACAGGAUUGUUAGCCACACUGCAAGGAUGGUCUGCUUAUACAGAAUCUUAACGCUUCUGAAAAGAGCAUUUUGUGGUAUUUUUAAUUACUUACAAAACAGCAACCUCAACAUUUUCUUCCCCUAUAAACCCACAAUUUUUAGAGUCAAAUUUUCUGUGACCUGGUCUCUUUCAGCAUACAGUUUUGGGUUCUAUUCAUCGUACAGUUUAAUGUCUUCUGUUUAUGCACUUCUGCAUGUCACCCUGGAGAAGAGGUAAGGAGCACAUUCAGGCUUUUAUUUAAGAGAAGAAUUUUUUUUCAUUUCAUCCUCUUUGCUUUUCCUAGAAAACAUUUUAAGCGUUAGUAAAUAUGUUCUUUUUAGGUUACAAUGUAAUAUUGAAACAUUGGAUGUAGAGCAGGGUUUUAUUUCCAUUUAGAAAGGUUAGUUUUAGCAUGCAGACCUUCUCAAAACUUGUCAUUUUCCAGGCCGCAGUCACACGUGAGAGGAGAAAUGACUUGGAAAUAGACUGUCCUUAGAGCAUUGCAUUUUUCUGUCUUUGCAGAGAGAGGAGACUUUUCAGGUGCAUGUGCAAUAAAGAGGAAGAGGUUUUUUAAUCAAGUAAACUUCUCUGAAUUUUUACUAAAAUGUUGGUGGCCUUUUGGUUUGCAGUCUGUGGUCUUGGUUAUUACUGGUCAGAACUAGGCUCGUUUUGGACAGCUCCUGUUAACUAAGUUUAAGCAGUUAAAACCCACAUCCUGGGAAGACCUCUGCACAAAUACUGAAUACUUAGGAAUGUCAGGAGUCUGAUUUUAAACUUAACUGAUUUAUUUCUGUACUUCAUAUUUUAUGCAGGGCUGAGCUUAACAGGAAAUCCAUCCCUUCAGAAUGCAAGAGUUAAGACAGAUAAAUGUGAAGAGAAGCUAAGAGUGGUAGUUCAGAGACAGAGAAAAAACCUGCUGGUGUGAACCGAUGUUGAUGUAGCUAUAAGUAUUAAAUUAUACAUUUUGAAUGCAAGUUUAAGUUUGUAUACUAGGUACAUAAUAUAUAUACACACAUAUAUGACAUAAUGGGAUACUUCACCUGUAACACCUAUACAAGUUUAUGCAUUUUCUAGAGGUUUGUUGAUCCAAAACAUUAAGAAAUUGAGAUCUGAAAGGAGGAGGACUAUAGGAGAAGAAAUGAAAGCGGGGCACAGAAGUGUAUGUACAUUUUCUGGUAUGUUGAGUAAGGCAUUUCAGACUAGAUGGUUUUUAAUAACAUACAUGUGUUUUUUUAAAAAACCCAAAGAAAACCCUUUUACCAUAUGCAGUAAUUAUCUCCUGUUGGGCAGCCAGUAAUGUAUGCUUUAGAAUUGUGAUAUUUAUUGGCUUUGUACUUGUCAUCUGUAGAGGUUAUGUGGUUUUUUUAUUGGUAAUAUUUAUAUGUAUUUUUAUGUGUUAGCCAGAGAAUUGUAAUCUGUCUGUUACUGCUUUGUGGUUUGAUAAUAAACAAAUGCAAAGCUCA